rnacentral:lncRNA from 1 species
AUCAUCUUAGAUUUACUUUUGGUGAUCGCUGGAGAUAAGGUAAGCUUUCAAGUUUGAUUAAUUUCAUGCAUCUAAUUUAGUUGUAUAGAACCUCUUGUUUGAAAUUAGUUGUGCAUAUUCAUCUCAAAUCAACUUAAGAAUAACACCCAUAACAAGAUAAGGUGAGGAUUUCAUCACCCUUUCUUAGCCCAAAAGCAACCAACUAGCAUCCUGCAUGAACCCAAGCCUAAUUAAAUUAAGUAGAUGUUGACCCCUA